UUUGGGACCAACGGCAUGCUUACUUUUUAUGUACUGAAAGACAAGCAUCUACUAUUCCAAUUAACCAAUAAUUCUGUAUUAUUCAUCCUUACAAAAAAAAGCUGUCAGGAAAAUGGCAUGCUCAGUUGGAUGGCAUUUUCUCCUUCACGCUGCAGCAGAAGCCCUUCGGCCCAAUCCCACCACAGCAGGCUUUAGACAGAUCCAAACCAUGGAUUGCACACAGUGCUUGGCACGACUUAUCCGCGCAGUCUUCCAAAGGGUAACAUAGGUAUGCGAGCUCUGCAGAUCAUGCACAGCAAAGACAACAACCAGUUAGCUAGUAUACAUACUGCACUAGAUCUUUUUUAUUUGUUGGAACAUGAAAAUAUAUGAGUACAUAAUAAAAGGAUUAUUUGCGACAAGGAAAUAAAAAUACCUUUGCUGCACUUUGCUGCUGCUGCUUGGCAAGACCAAAAACUGGUGCACAUGACCAGUAGAGCUACCAAACACAUAGCCUUCUUGUUGUUG
rnacentral:lncRNA from 1 species